GGAAGCAUGAGCACGGGAGAAAGAUGCUGCUCCAUGUGGCAUCUGCAGAACUUUGAGAUGUGCUGGCGACCUCCUUCCAUGGCCUUAACACAAGGAGGGUUCCAGAGUUCCAGAUGUGACAUUGCCCCUCCAGGCUGCAAAAUGCCAGAAGCAGAGUGAAGAUGGGGGGGACCAGCACCCCUCUUGCUCCUGACAAAAGCCCCCCUCCAGGGCCCCAUGACACUCCAGCAGCCUCAUCUGCUUUGGAAGCCACGAUGUCUGUGACUUCCUUGAAGAAUGUGGCCAUCUCUUAAUCUUCCUAGUUGUAGUGCCCAGAAAAAAUGCGCAAUAAAUUCAAUGAGUGAACGAAUGAGCUCCAAUCUUGAGGAUAGCUUUCUCCUGCUGAUACUGUUCUCUCUGAGAAAGAUCUUGGAUUUACACAACAAACUUUUUAAGUGGAAGUAUACGUGAGCUUUCCAACAGCAAACACCCAUUAGGCGAGGAAUACCUGAGACUCUCACAUCAUCUGGUCCAAAUGCAGCGAUGGUGAGGAACUUCCAGAAUGCUCAGGAAGUUCUGCAGCUGAACUCAAAGACACCUUCCCCAAGUAGGGUCCUUGGGACACUUUGGUCUUUAGGGUCUUCAACCAUUUCUGUUUCCUGAAGAGGCUCAUUGUUUACAUGUCAAAUCUCAAAAGAUAUUGUCUUUGUAUCUUGGUUUUAUUGACUUAACAUCAUUUUUACCUUCUUGCUUCCUCUUGAGCACAGUAGCUAAAAUGUAAGUAGCUUUUACCUAAUGUUAAGGAUGAUGGUGACAAUGCCACUGCUGCUGAUGAUAGCUCACAUUUAUUAAGCAUUUUAUUAAUGCAUUUAUUAAUGCUAUGUGCCAUGCAUUUUGCUAAGUGUUUUACGUACAUUAUCUCAUUUAUUCCUGGCAGUAAUAUUAAGUAGUUACUAUUAUUAUCCCUACUUUACCGAUGAGAAAACAGGCACAGGAAAAUUAAAUAAUGUACUUAAGAUCAUACAGCUGGUGGUGAACAGAUUGUUAUACAGUUUAGUAUGGUUCAAAAAUUGUCUAAGCUGGACUUUCUAAGACAGAUGGACUUGUUUCCCUUGAGCUAGUAAGUCCUUUCUGACAAUAUUAUCUCCAUCCCCUGAAGUAAAAUUGCAUCAUUAACCAACGUAGCAGAGAGUACUGAUUAGAGAUGGGCUGUGGAGUCAUGAGUUCAAGCCCUGACUCUGUCAUUUAGCAGCCUGUUCGUCUCUCUAAGACUCCAUUUCCUCACCCAUAAAACAAAGAGUUAAGGAAAAACUCAUUGUGAUGGUUGAAUGAGACAGUGUAUGGAAAGCACUUGGCACGUAAUAAACAGUUAUUCCACAUUAACCAUUAAGUUUAUUCUUAUUUGGUGCCUGCAUAUGCAAGGAAUGUCACCAUAGACUCUGACUAAGAAAAUCUCAAAUGGUUUAGUUUCUAGGAGCCAGGCAGGUAGAUAAAAUCAAGAUACUGAUCAAGGAAACACCUCAACACUCCAGAGAGGUGGACAUAAUUAUUUACUGUGGCUCUGACAAUAUAAUUUAUAGUAUGCAAAAAUGGUAGCUUCUUGAAUUAUCCCUGACAACAUCAGAAGGUAGUCAAACAAACAGACUCACGGUGCUGCCCCCAUUCAGGGGUACUAGUCUCAGAAUAGAGCAUGCGCAGUGAUAUCCUAUCCGAAUGGCAUCUCUGGGACUUGUGCAGUGUGGCUGGCGUGCCAACAAACAUUUGCUCGCCUCCUCCCGUGGCCCAUCUGUCCUCCAAAGUUUGAUCACCUUGGGAAAACCAAGGCUGGAUCAGAAACAAUGAUUUGAGUCCCAGUUUCACAGCUGGCUGGCUGUCUGAGCUUAACCAGGUUAUUUAACUUCCCUGAGCCUCGUGCUAUUUAUCUUUACAACAGAGAUUAUCACAAUUGUCACAUACAGGUGUUGGGAGGAUUAAGUGAACUCACUAUGUAAUAGGACCCAUAAGAGUCUGGUAAUCACACCGCUGGUUCUGUAAGAGUAGCACUUUGUGUUGUUUGUUAUUUCAUUUGUCAGUGCAAGAGCUAUUAGCCAGAAGGAUUCUGGACUAAUGGUGCUAAAUGAUGCUGAACUCAAAGCAGGUCUUGCAGCUGAUACGAUAUGGCCUUAGUAAAUGUUCUCCUUACAAGACGCCAACUUUCCCCACAUGAAGGUGCCCUCUUAAUUAUAAAUAAAUUACAAGAUGUAAAUCAUUAUAAUAGAAUUACAAAAUGUGUUAUAAUAUAUUUAAAUUAUAAUAUAUAAUUAUAAAUAAAUUUUGAUUAUCAAUAAAGUUUUGUGCAA
rnacentral:lncRNA from 10 species